AACCUAGCACACCUGCGGUGUGUACCUGCGGAAGGAUCAUUACAGAGUUAUGCCCUUCGGGGUAAACCUCCAACCCUUUGUUUACAUACUUUGUUGCUUUGGCGGGCCGUGAGCUUUGCCUUCCCAUUGGUUUCGACUAAUGUGAGCCCGCCAGAGGUAACUCAAACUCUGAAUUAUUUUUACUGUCUGAGACGCAAUUACAAUAAAUUAAAACUUUCAACAAUGGAUCUCAGAUCGGAA
rnacentral:misc_RNA from 1 species